UAGAGUAGGGAUCCACCUCGGUCCACACUCCAUUACAGUAGGUGGCGGUAAUGCACACCAGAAGGUUGCUUGCCAACCGCCAUAAAAACAAAAGAAGAAGAAGAAGAAGUUUGGUAAAAUACAGCAUGCUUCGUCACCUGCAUACCCCACUGAUCCAGUUUCCCUCCUGAACCCUGUCUGACAUUCCAAUCCAGGCUGCCUCGGUGAACCCUGUGAGAAAUGCCUGCCACAGCACAGACGUUUAAAGGCGAUUCUCUCAAUUUCCAAUGGUCUCCAUCAGCUUCUGUUGUCCUGCGUUGAGCUGAACUGCUGCUUGGAGGCUCCACCUCUGUCUUCUCCUCACUUCCGGCCUCAUCUUCACUCUUCACGAUAACACAGACCACUUGGUCACCCUCAAGUCCUUUAAACUCCUCCUGACUGAUGCUAUGUUCCUCCUCUUCCUCUUUAAUGUGAGCAGAGCUAUGACUCCUCUCUCUCUGUAAUGUGACAGGGGAAUGCGACUCCUUUGUGCAAGAGGUAAGUUGCUCCUUCCCCUCUUUAAUGUGGGCUUGCUGUGGCUUCUCCUCUUCCCCUUUAAUGAAGGGGUACUGCAGCUCCUCCUCCUCUAUAAUAUAGGGGGGCUGAAGCUUAUCCUGCGCCAUUCUUGAGGUCCACUUGCUGCUCGGAAGAAGAUGUUCUCCACAGAUGUCUGCAGGAGACAAGAAAACAAACACAUGGUUUAGAAAAGUCCAGCUCUGCUCAGUCACGGGAGACAUCGUCGUGCAUAUGUUGUGAUAAUAUUCUGGAGUGUGUUCGUUCACCAUUUCCAUGACCAAAUUCAAGCACUUUUUAAGGACUUUCGAGAUCAAUUUUCCAGCUUUUCCAGUACUCUUCAAAAGGCAAAAGUUUUUGAGGUGUUCGAAGUCACCAAAAGCUGUCUGUAGAAAAAAUACGGAAAAUCUGCUGAAACCUAAGCCUAACAUUGAGCCAGCAGUCAUCAUUAACUGAAUGGGGCAUAGAAAAGGAAGCAGUGUUUGUGUAGACUAUUCAAAGUCAUUGGUGUUUGCAAAUGUGUCUCCAUUUGUGUUGUUUUUCACAUUUCUUGUUAUUUUUCUGACUUACAGCACUCAAUGACAUCGAACAGCGUGGAUUGAUUCACACCGUAUUUGUGCUUGUAAACUGCGUAUUGUGAUAUAAAUACAUGCACCCUCAAAAUGUAAAUUUUACUCAUUUAUUAACAAACAGUUCCACAUUAAUAUAAGGUUCAUUAAUUUAAAGAAAAAAAUGUUUGUUUCACAACACCUCGGGCACCUUUCAUCAGGUAUAUGUAGCCUUAUGAUAAUCAAUUUAUAGUUGAUGUAAGUUCUAAACAUUAUAAUUUAUCAUUAACAAACACUCUCUUUUUUCCUUUCAUAGCUCUUAAUAACUGUCCGUAAUUAACAUGUAAUUUAGCGCUGAUCUCACAGUUUUAGGUCGAGCAUGUACCAAAAGGUUAGAAAAUAAAACUGUAGCUAACGUUAGUUAACAUGUAGGGCUAUCUCUGUGGUUUACCUUUCAUAUGAAGCAAAAGAGCCAACUCUCCCAUUCCGAAAAGCUGGAUUUCCUUUUUGAGUACUAUGCAGCAGGCUACAUGUGGAUUUGGUCCACCUUUUAUCCAAAGUUUGUAUUUGUCGUUUUCUAUCCAAUCUUCAUUAAUACGACAAUCUCCCGGCAUGAUGGACCGAUGCACCACUGUCCUCUUGGGGGCGACACAGAGACGUAUACACGGCUCUGGCAUGACAACAACUGAAUGUAAAGGCCUACUGAAACACACUACUAUCCACCACGCAGUCUGAUAAUUUAUACAUCAAUGAUGAAAUAUUAACAUUGCAACACAUGCCAAUACGGCUUUUUUAGUUUACUAAAUUACAAUUUUAUAUUUCCUGGGAGUUUCGUCUUGGAAACAUCGUGUAAUGACGUGUACGCAGGACGUCACGGGUUUUUAGGAAGUAUGAGCGCUACGCACACACACAGGUAAAAGUCGUCUGCUUUAAGGGCAUAAUUACACAGUAUUUUGGAGAUCUGUGUUGCUGAAUCUUUUGCAAUUCGUUCAAUUAAUAUUGGAGAAGUCACAGUAGAAAGAUGGAGUUGGGAAGCUUUAGCCUUUAGCCACACAAACACACGGUGAUUCCUUGUUUAAAAUUCCCGGAGCUGAAACUUUACUAUGGAUCAGAGCGCGGUCAAGCCAACAUGGAUCCUACCGAAUGUCAACCAGCAGGUUUCGGUGAGAAAAUUGUGGUUAAAAAGUCGCCACUUACCGGAUAUCAGCUGAGCUUGUGUCGUCCGUACAGUUGACGUCUACACCCGUGAGACAUGGCGUCAAGACACCCGUGGACUACACCUCCGACUAUCAGCUAUUAUUAAACUCACUAAACCACUAGCAACACAAUAGAAAGAUAAGGGAUUUCCCAGAAUUAUCCUAGUAAAUGUGUCUAAAAACAUCGGAAUCCGUCCCAAUGCUAUCGCGUUUUGUUUUUUUUACUCGUUUUUUUUUUUUUUCCUAGUCUGUUAUCAAUAGCUUCCAACACGGAUCUUUCAUCCUCGCUCAAAUUAAUGGGGAAAUUGUCGUUUUCUCGGUCCAAAUAACUGUUUUUGUUGGAGGCUCCCAUUAAAAUCAAUGUGAAUAUGUGAGGAGCCCCCACACUUGCGACGUCAUCUUCUGCGACUUCCGGUAAAGGCGAGGCUUUUUCAGGAAGUACCAAAAGUGGCGAACUUUAUCGUCGAUUUUCUCUAAUAAAUCCUUUCAGCAAAAAUAUGGCAAUAUCGCGAAAUGAUCAAGUAUGACACAUAGAAUGGACCUGCUAUUCCCGUUUAAAUAAGAAAAUCUCAUUUCAGUAGGCCUGUAAGGGCUUGUGCAAAGCCAACAGAUCAAGUGUAUAGUAGGGCUGGGCGAUAUAUCGAUAUAUGUAUCAUGAUAUAGAAAAUGACUAUAUCGUGAUAUUGGAGUAUACAUUCUCACGCAGUUGGGUUUUAGCUGCGGGCAUUACGCUGCAGGCUCUUCUCGCUCUUUCCUGUCUGUCCUUCUCACAGACAAAUGCACCUUCUUACACACGUCGCGGAGUAGAGAGGUAGCAGCAUGGGUAACGUUAGCUGUGCUGCUAGCGGAGCCGUGCGAGUGGUAAUACGAGAGAAAGAAGGUGCGAAUGAAGGAAGAAUUAAUUCCCAAGAAAAACAGCAGGGGGUCCAUCGUCUGACGGUGGUUUGGUAUCAAGUGGGAAUAUAUCCACAAGACAACCGUAAUUUGUCAAGUGUGGGGCAAAAGCGUUGCUAUAAAAAGUAGCAUUACUGCAAAUAUGUAGCAUCAUUUGAAAGGUCACCUGCUAGAGAAAGAAGAGCGCUUGAAACUGCAUGUCAACAUCUCAGUUUGGUGCCACACGCCCACACCAUCAAAAUGCAGAGGCAAAAAUUUCCAGAUCAACACCGUAUUUAAUAACGUCUGUAGUAACCUACCACAGAGUGAAGGACAAACACUAUUUGAUUUCCUAUUAUGCAGCUCAUUUUUAUUUGACACCUAAAAUGUCUCUUACAAUCUUGCACUUUCUGUUUUGGAAAUGACAUGAAUAUUUGUGCCGUUGCUUAAUAACUGUUUAAUAAAUACAGUUUUGGUCAAUUGACUUAGUUGUGAUUUCCUUCUCUGCAUGAAUGUUUAAAAUGAGCAUAUAUUAAUGCAGUAUGAAGAAGAAUGAUUUAAUGACGACACAUAGAAUCAUCAUACUGCUGUGAUUAUAUGCAUCAAGUGUUAAUUUAAGGCCAAGGCAAAAUAUCGAGAUAUACAUUGCGACAUGGCCUAAAAGUAUCAAGAUAUUAAAAAAAGACCAUAUCGCCCAGCCCUAGUGUGAAGCAAAAAUUUUUAAGGAAACUUGCUUUAUUUUUUUCCAUUUUAUAAUCAGCCUGUUGAGUCAAACUUGCUGAGAAAUAUGAUGAACAUUUCCAAGCAUUUACAAGCACUUCACCCAAAAUUCAAGCAUUUUUCAAACCAUGAAAACACAUUAAAAUCCAAUAAUUUUCAAGGUUUUUAAGCACCCAUACAAACCCUGAAAGUAAAUAUGUAACAACCGACCUGCUUAUUUUUGGUCAUUUUAACCUUGCUACUUAAAGAUUAAUCACUUUAUUUUUAAUUUCUUCUUUUGAGUAAUUUACUCUGGGUUGCAAAACUAAUCUAUUUACUUUUUAUUUCAUGCAUUUAUGCCAAAUAAUGAGAGCAAUGAUGAAGUUCACUUUCCAAAUUGCAGGUCACACAUUUCUCUUUUUUAUUUUUUUCAUGGAUAAUCCAGGACAAAACAGCAUUUCAUUUUUGAACUUCAAAAAUGUUUAGCUCCCUUAAUAUUUG